AUUGAUACUGAUCACCCAACAUCACAAGACAUCCCCAUCUCUCAGCGUGGACUCCCCCUAUCUGUCAGUUGGAUGGUGCAGAUGAUUCUCCAACUCAACUCUACAGGAAGAAACGUCAAACUCUUCUCAAAAUCUUGAAGAGCAGGGUUACUACUUGCAGGCACAGGUGCUGUCAAGGGAGGACUCUGUUAACAAGACUGAUCAAAAUUGUUUAAUUGUUUUCCCCAGCACCUCAUAGACAUCAUUAUUUGGGCUGGGAUGGCCCAAAUUGCACCACAAAGAGAUAUUAUAGAUCCAUGAGCUCAGUGAAUCCUAAAGACAAGAGACCUUCUCAUUUUGUUGACACAGUGACAGGCUCCAGCACCUAAGCAAUGAAUACUGGCUAGCUGGGAUUCAGAAAAAUCUCAGAUUUGAGCUUGGGGAGAGUUUGCUCCAACAUAUCUCAGAAUUCAGAGUAUUUUCAGGCACCAUCAGCACUUCUGUAGUUACCCCCAGUAUUCCUUCCCAUUUCUCCCCAUUUUUACUGUUCCUUUUUCUUCAGUACUAUUUCCUUUUUCUUUUAUUGCAUCCAGGGAAAGGUCUUUUCUCUCCAAAGCCUUUGUGCUCUCAAUUUUCCUUAGCUACUUCUCCAACUUCUUUGGCUGGUUGUACUCCUUUCUGUGCGUCCUCUACGAGUGGGCAGGAAUACUCUGCCUCUUCAAAACAAGCUCUACCACUGCACCUGCCCCUUGAAAGGGUCACUCUGGGUGUCCAGGUACAGAAACAAGACCAAAAAGUUCUGCUUAAACUGAUGCUGAAGAACAUGAAAAACAAUUUCCUGGAGGAGAAAAUGAUAUGCCUGGUUUUGUCAUUAGGGAGGCUCCACCAUAUUAUGCUGUAGGUUCUUUUUCAGGGUUGCUUUCUGCGAGUGCUAAUAAAACAAAGCGGGCUAUCUCACAUCCUCACAGGAGACUGGACACUUGAAAGUGGUUUAGGCAACAUCUCUGGAGAAUUGCAGAGGCUCUGGGAGUGGGACAAAGGACAGAGCUGGCUAUGAUAUGUAUGUGAAAAAUAUACAUCAAUACAGAGUGACACCAGUGCAGAGCAGAACAUCUGAAAACUGAUGAAGUGGAGAGCUCUCUGUGUAAUGCAAAGCACCUGAAUGAUGUGUGUACACACAAAGAUUUGUUCAGCUCUGCUCAUAUCUAGCCCUCUUGGACAGUUGGAUUUGAUUUGCCAUUUUCCUGCCAAAAUAUUGUUGCUGUACCUCAGCACCUGGCCUUUCUUCAAAGAAAUUGCACAUGACUCUUCUGUCCCCACCUAAACCAGUCCAGAAUAUGGGUUCAGGAGAGGUUAGGGGAACCUUUUUUAAUAAAAAACACGUUUCUAAUAAUUUAAAGACUCAAAGAUAAAGACUUCUAUUUUAAAAAAUUUCCUGUCUCCAUAACACUGUUCAUAUAUAGCUGCUCACCCACCUUGAAAUGAAGACCGCUAUAAUCAACCUGCUGGCUUAGAAUGAGAGGAUCGCACAAGAAGCCAACUCACACUGUCUGCACAGCCAGCAGAGGGAGGCAAACAGUAUAAUUGGGUUUGAUUACAUUAUUUUAAACAGAAUUUUAAGGAUUUCUCAACCAAAUGGGAAACUGGUUUCCUAAAAAGUAAUACAAUGAAUAGUUAGGAUAAGCACUUCCACCAAAGUUUUACAACAGCAAAGGUGAUGUCAAAGAACACCAACAUUAUGACCUUUAUAAUUUCCUUGCUGUAAAACUCAAGGGGCCUUAGAGCUUUGGGUAUUUUUUUUUUUCAAUUCUCUCACUUAACCCAAAAGGGUUUUUUUCCUUUGGAAAAACUUGAGUCUUUUUUUAUUUUGUGGAAAGCAUCUUUGCAUAAUUAGAAGCAUUUGAAGGAAAACUAUCAUCUCUGAAACAACUGAGAAGUAACACCAAAAUGUAGGAAUUGUCUGAGAUGGUUGAAAACUUACUCUGCUUAAAGAGCUGAGAAAGGACAGUUCUCUCCUGUGAGUGUUGAAUGCUCCUUCUAACAACAUAUAUUUACGCCACUGAGGGAAAAAAAGAGUGAACAGGAUGGAAAUUUCCAACUUAAAUUUUUAAGGAUGAAAGAAAAAGUGGACAGUGAAAAGGAUAGAGGCAAAGGCAGGUAUACUUAUGCCCUGCAAAUUAGAAAUAUACAACACAAGCAAACAAGGCUUGAAAUGUUCAAACAUGUUAGGAAUUCUGUGAAAACUCCAGAGAAUUCAAACAACCUGCCCAUUUUCCAGGAACCUUGCAAAUUAAGGGCUCUUUUUCCUUAUCAUUCCAUUCCAUCCUUAUGUUGGAAUUAAGCAUCAGCUGAUGCUGGAGAGCAUAAUAUCAAGGUACAAGUUGGACCCUGGAAGAGCCGUGGGGGAGCAGAAGGCAGGGGCGUGUAUGGCCGUGUUGUUUCACACCUCUUUAGCCAGGGCUUGUCUCUCUGCAGCCCCACAGAUGUGCUAACAGCUGCAGAGGGGGUGAGCAGCUGGGGCUGCCUGCCUGUGGAGCCGUGCCAGGGGAGCACUGCCCGGGCACCAACAGCUGAGAUGGGGUAGAUCUCAUCUCUCAAAGGAUGGCAGCACUGACAGCCACCCAAAGAGGUAUUCUGCAUGGGGAUUCUGAGCCCACACUGCCAAACUGCAUUUCUAAAAACUCUGUGGGUUGUUUUUUGGUUGUUUUUUUUUUUUCUGUUUCCACAGUAAUUUAAGCUAGAAGCAAAUCCCCAAAAGCAGAAUGAUACACCAAGCAAAAUCAGUGAAGCUCAAAGACUGUGCAAAUUGCACAGAGGUGUGAAUAGGACUUGUUAUGUCUUUUUAGGCAUCAAAAUAUGCCUAACAAUGUGUUUCCAACCAAGCUCACAGGAAUUUUAAAAUGGGCUGCACCCUUUUACCUCCUCUAUGCCCUGUGCUUGGACUACCCAAUAUAUGAGCAGCAAUAUAGGUUUGAGGUAUUUCUUUGUGCAAACAGGCUUAUGCUACUGAUUUAGUCAGGGUUUUGCAAGCAUUGCACUACUGUAAUUAAUUUCCAGAAUAUGGCCCACUGGGCAAAAUUCAAGUUACACCAAAAAAAAAAAAUCUUGACUAAACCCUUGGAAGCUAAAACUAAUCACCACUUUAGAAAUCCAAAGGUGAUGAGCUUAUCUGGUUAAUAAUAAGCUUUUUAAGAAAAAGUUAUCAAUCUGUAUUUAACCAAUAGACAGGAACUGGUUCAAAAAGAGUCUUUCCAAUCCAUCAGGUAAUGAAUGCCUAUUAAAAAACUAUAAAUAAGCAUUCACCCGAGAGCUUGGAAUGGCACUUUGAGAGCCUUUCUGGUCACUCAGGUAAAUAAUGAGUUUUAUAUAACCUUUCAGCAAAGAUUUUUUUGCAAAUGAGGAGAUGAAAUGCAGAGAAGCUUCUGAUUAAUGUUAAAGUUGGGGUACAAGCCAAUGCACAACUGGGAAUUCAAAGUUAAAGUUGGCAUUGUUGUUCCCUCACUCUGUUUCCCCUAAGGGCUUAAUGUUAAAGACUCUGCUGUCUUUACUUUGAAUUGCUUAUGAUGGUUUCAAUUUAGGAUUUUAUUUAUACAUGGCAUUUCUACUGAUGAGUGUUUUGUGCUUUAUCUGUUCACCCAGCUGCCACAAAAUACAAAAAGAAUUGUAGGGAAGAGCAGAAUGAAAGCCCCUAACUGAUGUGUAGUCACCAGUGAAAAUGCCUACAGUGGUCUCUCAUCACAAUCCCCCUUAAAUCUACAAGGACUGUGCUUGUUCAUAUCUAAUGAUAAGGGAAAAUAAAGUCCAGAACUCCCUGAACUUUCUGGUAUCUCCUUCCAUCAAUAUUUACUACUCUCCAAUAAAAUCACUCUUAUAAAAUAUUUUGAGCUUUCUUGAUGACUAAGAAAAAAUAUACCCAUGAAGAGAUCCAUUAAUUAUCUUAAAAUCAAAUAACCUGGCAACCAGGAUAUAUGGCAAAAUUAAAUGUAAGCCCUUUCCUGGAUAGCUCUGCAGUCCUUCCUAAAGGAUUACACAUCAGCUGUCCUCAACACCUAACAUCCUAGGACAAGGAGAGAAAAAUGGGUUUCACACCCUGAGGGUUAACAAACUUCAUUUAUUAUAUACUUGGAGAGUGAAGAUUGUAUUGCAGGUUCAGGGAUGAAAAAGGGAAACUUCUCCAACUACAACCAUGAGACAGACGUUUGAAAAGCUAAAAUGGAAAGCAAGAGGGGAAAAAAAUGUUUAUAUUCAACGGAGAUCUUUCCUGAUCCUUGUGCUUCUGAAGAAAUAUAUCCUUCCAAUUGUUCCAUUUUGUGUUAAAACAUAUUUUUUGCAUUUAUUAAUAAUUCAAACAUGUUGUUGUUUAAAAAAUAUUCAUAUCAUGUGUUCAUAGUUUCCAUAUACAUAUGUCAAACUUUAGUUUGUUUUACCAUUAUAAUCUAGGAAUGGAUUUACCCUUUGUUUCUGUUUUCAAAUCUCUGAGGAAUGUUUGAUUAGGUAGGAGGGUUUGUUUUAUGCAUUACUUGUUCAUCAUUGCACAAGUGCACAGGCUAAACAAAGUUGGCAUACUUCAUACUGAUUGGUGGAAACAGUGUAGUUAAACAGUGUAGUUAAUACAAGGGAAUGAGUAAUUUCUCAGCACAGCUAAUCAGCUGCACAAUAGCCAUGGAUCAGGCAGCACAGCCAUAUAUCACAAAUGCAUUUUGAGGUAGCUCGUAGCACACACGAUCAUCUACCAGAAUCUGCUGCAAUCAUUCCAUAUUAACACACUCCCUCUGUAUUUAUUUAAUAAAAUGGAUCUCAUGUGCAGCAGUCUGUAUACAUAGCCAGACAGAAUACCAGGGAUUAUCCAGUUAAUGGCAAACCCAGGAAUUUUCUAGCUGGUAUAUAAUGGAAGAUAUGUCCAGGGUGUUUUCCAUUUAACAAUGUCAGGUGGAAAAGAAAAGCAAGAGCACUGAAGAUGACAAAACAGCUUCUGCUGCACUGAAGAACUUAAAUCAAUUUCAUAAUUCUAUAUCUAUCACUCCAUACAUCUAUAACUAAGAAAUAACAAGAUAAAUACAUUGCAAUAUUAUUUACCAGGUGUCUUCUGCAUUUACGCCUUUCCAUACUUUUGUGAUGAGCUGUCCUUUAUUAUGACUUGUAAACCUGUCAUUCCUGAAGAAAGUAUUUUUAACAGCUCAGCAUCAAUACCAGUUCAGAACAGCAUCCCCCUGUUAGGAAACAAGGCUGGGUUCAGUAGGAGUUAACAUUAACAAUUCAAGAGACUGUAGGAGAAAUUAGAAACAUGAGCCCUCCAUAAUGAUGAUAAAAUCAAACUGGCAAAUAAAUGUAUUCUCAAAUGUCAUAGUAAGAAAAUGGAUGAAUAUAUGCAACUAAAAUGGUCUCUUAAAUUUCAAGUGCAUGGCCAGGAUUCUCAAGAACUUGCUCCUAAAUAGAAGAAGCUGAAUUAGAAAUCUAUCAAGUAAUCUCAGUACUGCAUAUCUGCACAUGUAAUGCAAACUUCAUGAAGUCCACAAUUUCACCCUACUAGUCUAAUCCAAAGCCCACUGGGAUCUAUUCCUCUGAAUUUGAUGAGUUUUGGAUCAAGCCUUUUGAAGAUAAGGAGUGAGCUGGAAACAAAAUGAUGCCAUAAAUCAGAAUGAGUGGUACAGAAUUAAGUAGUACAAAAUAUAGCUUUCAGUAGUAUAUUAUGCUAAGGUUAUAAAAUAAAAUACAAUACAACAAUUGAUGUAUUAACAGUAAGGAAAAAGAUACACAAAUAUUUGUGUUAUUAAGGAAUUAGUGAAAUUGCAGUGCUUCACUUUCUUAAAAAAUAUAGGCUCUAUUUUGAUAUUCACACUUAAGGAAACACUUUGGCUCUGAUAAAACCAAGUGGAUAAUUAAAAAUUAUAAUAUUAAUUGUACCCUUAACACAGAUAAGUAAACUUGGCAAGAAAGUUUUAAUGAGUUAAGUGAAAAGGCAAUGUCUAAAUUAACUGAGUAAAUUGGCAAAGGGAAAUUUAUUGUAUAUACUGACCCUUUUAACUUGUUUUAAUGUCUGAAUUUGAACUACAUAGAUUAGUUUUCAUUACACGAUACAUUAAAUUAUAAGGAUAAAAGUAUUCCUCUCAGAAUCUGCUUUCUAGGACAGGUUACAGUGCUUACAAAUUAAUUGUCCUGUAAUAUGUUAUAAUAGCAGCUCCAAAUCCAUGGAUUCAGUAGAGGUUCCUGAGGGAAAUGACAGCUACUGGAAUAUAUUUAGAAGUCAAUAUAAAGGAAUAAACCACGGUCACACUAAAAACGUGAACAGCUCCACAGCACAGGACAGUUGUGGGAAUUCCCAGUGCUCCCUGGACCAGGCUGGCUCCUGCACAGCCCAAAGGUGUGGGGGGUGACAUUCAGGAACACCUCUCACCCAGCUGAGAGCCCGCUGGACAGGCUGAGGCACGGCAGCUGCUCCCACUGAAAACACUCCGUGCUCAGGAAAAGUGCCUGGCACAUUCCAGAGCAACUCCUGGAUAAAAGCACCUCCUGCCAAAUCUCGACUGAAGGAGCCCUAACGUAAGAGCCGACAUGGACGCACACCCCACUGGGACCUGUCUGACUGUAUCAGUUUUUAAUGUAUCUUUCCAUUAAAUCAAAGAUCCAAAUGCUAAAUCUAGCACUGAGACACAGCAAGGGAAUUUGUGACAUUCCUCAGAGGACUCGGUGUCCAUAAACUAAUGAAUGGAUGAAACUGAUCUCAGUAUUUGGUUUCUCGUUUUUGACAAAUAUAAUAUUGAAGAUAUUUUGUUUAACUGUUUCAUAACACUGUACUUGUGAAAAUUUAACUGAACAGCAACUGCUCAACCAGAAAUACACAGCAACAGAUACUGGGAUUAUGUAUAUAAUUAAGAAACAGGCAUGGCAGAAGACCAUAAUAUUGCAUGAUUUAGAAGUUCAAAUCUUUCAGCUCCUACUAAAUACUGUCAAGCACCAAGAAGUUCUGAGCCAGAACCAGCUGAAAACAAUGGAAAGAUUUCCAUUGGUUUAAUAAGCAAUGAAUCAGAUUCAUAAAAAUGAACCAAGCUAGUAAAUGUGCUGUUGUUCAGAGUGGCUUCUAAAUAAAUAUAUAAAUCCCA